rnacentral:rRNA from 1 species
UUGGAGGGCAAGUCUGGUGCCAGCAGCCGCGGUAAUUCCAGCUCCAAUAGCGUAUAUUAAAGUUGUUGCAGUUAAAAAGCUCGUAGUUGAAUUUCGGGAUCAAUUUGCUGGUCGUGCCUUCGGUACGCACUGGUAUUAUUGGUUUCUCCUUUCUGAUGAAUCGCGAUGUCAUUAAUUUGGUGUCGUGGGGAAUCAGGACCGUUACUUUGAAAAAUUAGAGUGUUUAAAGCAGGCUCACGCUUGAAUACAUUAGCAUGGAAUAAUGAAAUAGGACGUUUGAUUCUAUUUUGUUGGUUUCUAGGAUCGACGUAAUGAUUAAUAGGGAUAGUUGGGGGCAUUAGUAUUCAAUUGUCAGAGGUGAAAUUCUUGGAUUUAUUGAAGACUAACUACUGCGAAAGCAUUUGCCAAGGAUGUUUUCAUUAAUCAAGAACGAAAGUUAGGGGAUCGAAGACGAUCAGAUACCGUCGUAGUCUUAACCAUAAACUAUGCCGACUAGGGAUCGGAUGAUGUUAAUUUUAACGACUCAUUCGGCGCC